AAUGGAUGACUGAUCAUAUUUUUCCUUUACCCUUUCUGCAGCCUGCUUACCCCUGAGAUGCAAGAAGGCCUGUAGCCAGAAAUGGCAAGAUACAGUCCUCGAAGGGAUACCAGUGGUCCAGGACAACAUGGGGAAGCGCUGCGUACCUGUAGACUGCACCCUGACAGGCAAGGCCUGUAGCCAGACAUAUCCCUGGAAAAGACACAAGUGGUCCAGGAAAAAAUGGGGAAGCGCAGCGUACCUGUAGACUGGACCCUGACAGGCAAGAAGGCCUGUAGCCAGACAUGGCAGGACCUAGUCCUGGAAGGGAUACCAGUGGUCCAGGACAACAUGGGGAAGCCAGAGAGCUCUGUCUGUGAUGGUGAGGAAGAACCUAUGGAGAAGAGGGAGCAGGAGAUGAGCCUGGCUGAGCAAGAGGCACCUCCCGUCCCUGUGGAAAUAAGUGAGUUUAGAAUGGAGAUUGAAGGAAGAACUGAUUUGGCAAAUGAGGUGUUCUGAUAGAAAGAGAAAUAAGGAUAUUCUUAAGAUGUGCC
rnacentral:lncRNA from 1 species